UUAGAGUUUGAUCCUGGCUCAGGAUGAACGCUAGCGGCAGGCUUAACACAUGCAAGUCGAGGGGCAGCGAGAGUGAUAGCAAUAUUACUUGUCGGCGACCGGCGCACGGGUGCGUAACGCGUAUGCAACCUACCAUCAACAGGGGGAUAACACUGAGAAAUCGGUACUAAUACCCCAUAAUAUCUCAUGCGGCAUCGCAUGGGGUUGAAAACUCCGGUGGUUGAUGAUGGGCAUGCGUUGUAUUAGCUGGUUGGUGAGGUAACGGCUCACCAAGGCGACGAUACAUAGGGGGACUGAGAGGUUAACCCCCAACAUUGGUACUGAGACACGGACCAAACUCCUACGGGAGGCAGCAGUGAGGAAUAUUGGUCAAUGGACGCAAGUCUGAACCAGCCAUGCCGCGUGCAGGAUGACGGCUCUAUGAGUUGUAAACUGCUUUUGUACGAGGGUAAACCCCGAUACGUGUAUCGGGUUGAAAGUAUCGUACGAAUAAGGAUCGGCUAACUCCGUGCCAGCAGCCGCGGUAAUACGGAGGAUCCGAGCGUUAUCCGGAUUUAUUGGGUUUAAAGGGUGCGUAGGCGGUUUGAUAAGUUAGAGGUGAAAUGUCGGGGCUCAACCCCGAAACUGCCUCUAAUACUGUUGGACUAGAGAAUAGUUGCGGUAGGCGGAAUGUAUGGUGUAGCGGUGAAAUGCUUAGAGAUCAUACAGAACACCGAUUGCGAAGGCAGCUUACCAAACUAUAUCUGACGUUGAGGCACGAAAGCGUGGGUAGCAAACAGGAUUAGAUACCCUGGUAGUCCACGCAGUAAACGAUGAUAACUCGUUGUCGGCGAUACACAGUCGGUGACUAAGCGAAAGCGAUAAGUUAUCCACCUGGGGAGUACGUUCGCAAGAAUGAAACUCAAAGGAAUUGACGGGGGCCCGCACAAGCGGAGGAACAUGUGGUUUAAUUCGAUGAUACGCGAGGAACCUUACCCGGGCUUGAAAGUUAGCGACGACGCUUGAAAGAGCGUUUCCCUUCGGGGCGCGAAACUAGGUGCUGCAUGGUUGUCGUCAGCUCGUGCCGUGAGGUGUCGGGUUAAGUCCCAUAACGAGCGCAACCCCUACUGUUAGUUGCCAUCAGGUGAUGCUGGGCACUCUAGCGGGACUGCCGGUGUAAGCCGAGAGGAAGGUGGGGAUGACGUCAAAUCAGCGCGGCCCUUACGUCCGGGGCCACACACGUGUUACAAUGGUAGGUACAGAGGGCAGCUACCCUGCGAAGGGGUGCGAAUCUCGAAAGCCUAUCUCAGUUCGGAUUGGAGGCUGAAACCCGCCUCCAUGAAGUUGGAUUCGCUAGUAAUCGCGCAUCAGCCAUGGCGCGGUGAAUACGUUCCCGGGCCUUGCACUCACCGCCCGUCA
rnacentral:rRNA from 1 species